rnacentral:rRNA from 1 species
AUACGGAGGUUGCAAGCGUUGUUCGGAAUUACUGGGCGUAAAGGGAGCGCAGGCGGUCUGGUCAGUCUGAAGUGAAAGCCCGGGGCUCAACCCCGGAACUGCUUUGGAUACUGCCAGACUUGAGUAUGUGAGAGGUGAGCGGAAUUUCAGGUGUAGCGGUGAAAUGCGUAGAUAUCUGAAGGAACAUCGAUGGCGAAAGCAGCUCACUGGCACAAGACUGACGCUGAGGCUCGAAAGCGUGGGGAGCGAACGGGAUUAGAAACCCCAGUAGUCC